AUUUUAUACAUAUUUAUAGGUGUCGAUUUAGACUUAAUAGAGAAAUCGGUAUAAGCCGAUGCGAUCCCGUCACUGUAAGAGGAGCUAAUCUCAUGUUGCCACUGGAUAUUCCGGGAAGGCGAGAGGCGCUAUGAAUCUAAGCCAGGAGACCUGCCUAUUUAUAAUCUCCGUUU
rnacentral:ncRNA from 17 species